GACAGUUCUCAGGUGACACACCUCAGAAUCGGGCUCCCUCCUCUCUGGUUCCAUGUGUGUCACCUGAGAACCACA
rfam:Myotis brandtii contig307985, whole genome shotgun sequence.